ACAUACACAGCACCCACAGACAUACAGCACCCACAGACAUACAGCACCCACACACAUACAGCACCCACAGACAUACACAGCACCCACAGACAUACACAGAACCCACAGACAUCCAGCACCCACAGACAUACACAGCACCCACAGACAUACACAGCACCCACACACAUACAGCACCCACAGACAUACACAGCACCCACACACAUUCAGCACCCACAUACAUUCAGCACCCACAGACAUACAG